rnacentral:rRNA from 1 species
GACGAACGCUGGCGGCGUGCUUAACACAUGCAAGUCGAACGGAAAGGCCCUGCUUGCCGGGUACUCGAGUGGCGAACGGGUGAGUAACACGUGGGUGAUCUGCCCUGCACUUCGGGAUAAGCCUGGGAAACUGGGUCUAAUACCGGAUAGGAGCCAUUUUUAGUGUGAUGGUUGGAAAGUUUUUUCGGUGUAGGAUGAGCUCGCGGCCUAUCAGCUUGUUGGUGGGGUAAUGGCCUACCAAGGCGGCGACGGGUAGCCGGCCUGAGGGGGUGGACGGCCACAUUGGGACUGAGAUACGGCCCAGACUCCUACGGGAGGCAGCAGUGGGGAAUAUUGCACAAUGGGCGCAAGCCUGAUGCAGCGACGCCGCGUGGGGGAUGACGGCCUUCGGGUUGUAAACUCCUUUCGCUAGGGACGAAGCUUUUUGUGACGGUACCUAGAUAAGAAGCACCGGCUAACUACGUG